rnacentral:rRNA from 1 species
CCACGCCGUAAACGAUGAGUACUAAGUGUUGGGAGUCAAAUUUCAGUGCUGCAGUUAACGCAAUAAGUACUCCGCCUGAGUAGUACGUUCGCAAGAAUGAAACUCAAAGGAAUUGACGGGGGCCCGCACAAGCGGUGGAGCAUGUGGUUUAAUUCGAAGCAACGCGAAGAACCUUACCAGGUCUUGACAUCCGGAUAAAGACCUCAGAGAUGAGGGGAUAGAUAUAUCCGAGACAGGUGGUGCAUGGUUGU